UCCCCGUUACCGGGGCAGUCUAGCUAGAGAAAUUCAACUAACUAUAAGGGUUGCGCUCGUUGAUGGACUUAACCAAACAUCUCACGACACGAGCUGACGACGGCCAUGCAACACCUGUCACCAAGUUCCCGAAGGCACUCUCGCGUUUCUGCGAGAUUCUUGGGAUGUCAAACCCUGGUAAGGUUCUACGCUUACCAUCGUAUUAAACAACACGCUCCACCGCUUGUGCGGGUCCCCGUCAAUUCCUUUAUGUUUUAGUCUUGCGACCGUACUCCACAGGCGGGAUGCUUAACGCGUUAGCUUCGCUACUACCAGGGUCGAUACUGAUAACAGCUAGCAUCCAUAGUUUACGGCGUGGACUAC
rnacentral:misc_RNA from 1 species